GGGUCGUUGUCACAUGACUCUAGUGUAGCGUUGGGUAAUAUAGUGAGAUCGUUGAGCAAGUAAACAAAUAUGGCGAAUGUUUCUAAUUUGGUUUAUAUUUUGUGGGCAAUAUUAAUUAAUGUUUGUUUUGGAUUCACACCUGAAGUAGUUUUAGAGCAAGUAUUGUUCGAAGGAGGUGAUGAAGGCGAUGUGUAUGCCUACCGAAUCCCAGUCGCUACGCUAACCUCACAAGGCAAGGUUGUUGUUUACGCAGAAGCCCGGAAGUAUUCGAGAUCGGACUCAAAUUCGAAGUUUAUUGCCGGGCGAACGUCUGUAAAUGGGGGCUACAGUUGGUCUGUUACAGAAUUUCUUGUCAAUAACUUUCGCACCAAUGAUGGUAUUAAUCUUGGAGCAACGUUAUACAACGCUGAACGCAAAGAAUUGUUAAUUUUUUACACCGAAUGUGCACAUCGAACAUGUGCAAGUGGAGUGACCUCAAAUUAUAUGUUGAAGUCAGUUGAUGGAGGCGUCUCAUGGCAACCACCAGUGGAUAUUUCAAAGGCAAAUGGCACAAACAAUAUUAAUAAUAAUUUGUAUAAUUAUUCUUGGUCAGCUGGGCCAGGAUACGGCAUACAGAAAAAGCUGGAGCCUCAUAAAGGUCGUUUGAUUGUGUGCGGCCAUACUAUCAGACACACAUAUUAUGCAAUGGAAUGCAUAAUCAGUGACGAUCAAGGAAGUACUUGGAAAAUCGGAGCUUCACAACCAGCACUUCCAAAGUAUGGACCAAUGACCAGUGGCGUAUUUUGGCCAAGUGAAGUUCAGAUGUUGGAACUUCGGAACGGUUCCAUAUUAUUCAACAUUAGGAACGAGAGGAAAUACCAGUGCGCUUGCCGCAUUGUAAUGUUAAGUAAUGACGGAGGCGACACUAUUGACUUUGACAGCAUCUACUUUGAUGCCACAUUGAUUGACCCCACUGAUGCAGGAGCAGUCCUUUUACACGGAGACAACAUAUUCUUUGUUAAUGCAGCCAACACGGGAUCUAGGAGGAACAUCACUUUAAGAUGGAGUGCAAAUGACGGCAAGACUUGGGAUGGAGCCUUAAGUAUCUACACAGGUCCAGCAGCCUACUCCACGUUGACGAGUGUUGAUGAAAACCAUAUUGGUGUUCUAUACGAACGGAGUAUGAGUGGCAAGAGUGAUGCUGGCAGUAUAUGGUUUACUCUUGUUAAGAUUAAGUAGAUUUUUAUAUACCGUUGAACCUUUCAUAAAAUCCUUGGGUCAUACUAAUCAUUUUGUUCACUAAUAAAAUACUGGUUCAAUAUUAUCAAGCAUAAAUUGGCAUUGAAAAAUUCCACCCAUGCAUCCUGUAAUACCUCACACACACACACACACACCAACUGUAAAUUAAGAUUGUUAACACAUAGCUGUAGGCAUAUUCAGUUUUAAGCUCGGUUUCCAUCUCUCACCCUAUCGGCGACAUCGGGGUGCAUUGCUAGCUGCCCCGACGCAAUCGGGAAGGCGCCCCGAUUCGUCUGCAACACAAUCGGCAAAGUUAAAGCAGGUUUAACCUUCCCGACAACUGUCGCCGAUAGUAAGCGAUUCUAUGGAAAC
rnacentral:misc_RNA from 1 species